AUCCAAUUAUCAGAGUUCAUAAAUGACGGGAAUUGGGAAACAUACUGCAGGUAGCAAGACAAAAUGAGAAAGAAGAAGAAAAUCAGAAGCUUGAUUGGAGGGUAUCCCAGCCCAUUGAAAUAGGGAUAUAGGCUCCAUCCUUCCCGCGGUCCUCAAGUUCACAGCAACCAUCACUGGUAAUGAAGAUGGCGAAUUUGAACAUCGGCUGCACAACAAGUACUCUCCUAUCACCUGGGUUUCAGCUCAUCCUAGUUGCUUGCCAUCUUUUUCUUUCAUUUGUUUGGUCAUAGAAGCCCACCGUGUUGAGCAUCAGCUGUGCACCAGGUGCGGUGCAGGACCCAGCGCACAGCCCAGGCUGCGCAUGCGCGUUGCGGCCGGUGCCUGGUGGCGCUGGGGAGGCAAGAUGGUGGAAAGGGAAUGACGUACGUCAGCACGUAAGGACGCACGCAGCGACGCCUUGUAGCACCUGCUAUGAAGGACAACGAUCCGGUGCCAUCGGAGGUCACAAUAACGCUCCGAGUUGGGGUUGCGAGAGGAAGUGGUAGGAGAAGAGGUCUGAAGUGCUUUUCUCCUAGGACCUCGAGACGGAGUGCGCGUGGACAGGAGAGAAGAGAGAGAGAAGCAGGUCGGAGGAGCCCGCGUGUGAGGUCCUUCCAGCGAGAAAGCCUUGCAGAGGCGGAGAGGAGGAAUGCCGCUGUUGCGCCUGGAGGACUCCCAGGUCCGAAACAGGAGCAAAGCCACUGGAAAAACCAUUGCAAGGAAGAACCGCAGUUCAUUUCUCCUCUGAGUACCUACUGCAUUGUUGAGCGAGCUGCUUGGUGCCUCUGAGUUCACCUAGAGCAAUAUUCCCUGAACAGAAUCCUGAACCCUAAGAGGUACCUUGGUAUGGCGGGCAGAAUCCUGGCCCCAAAGAUGCCCACGUCCUCGACCCCAGAGCCUGUGACUCUGGCACCUGGCAGAGCCAAGGGGACUCUGCAUGGUGACUGCAGUGUGGACCCUGAGCUGCAGAGUAACGAGUCACCCAGCUGGGCCUGCUGCAGUUUACUCACAUUCCCAGCAGUGGCCAGAGGGAGAUGGAGCAGAUGUACGGCCGCUGGCUCUGAAGGUGGAGGAAGGGCUGGAGCCGAGGAACGCCGGAGGGCCAAGGGUCUGAUCCUGCCCUCGAGCCUCCAGAAGGAAUGCAGCCCUGUCUGCACCUCGAUUUGAGCCAGUGAGACUGUGUUGGAUUUCUAACCUCCAGAACCAGAAGAUGAUAGAUUCGUGUUGUUUUAAGCCACUAAAUUUGAGGUCAUCUCCCAGGAACAGUACGAAACGAAUACAUUCAGGUUAGUAGGCACCGAAAACCUUGACACUGUUUGUCUUCCCCUGAAUCCAUGCCAUUAAUGUGUGUCUGUAGCCGUCUUGGGGCCGCACUAUCAAAGCAAAGAUCCAGGGGGUG
rnacentral:lncRNA from 9 species